AAUAUUUGACAAUGGGGGCAACCCUGAUCCAGCCAGCCCGCGUGUGUGAAGAAGGUCAUCGGAUUGUCCCGCCCUUUAAGUUGGGAGGAAGGGCUUUAGGCUAAUACCCUGAAGUUGUUACGUUACCAACAGAAUAAGCACCGGCUAACUCUCUGCCAGCAGCCGCGGUAAUACAGAGGGUGCAAGCGUUAACCGGAAUUACUGGGCGUAAAGCGCGCGUAGGUGGUUCAGUAAGAUGGGUGUGAAAUCCCCGGGCUUAACCUGGGAACUGCUUUCAUAACUGCUGAGCUAGAGUACGGUAGAGGGUAGUGGAAUUUCCUGUGUAGCGGUGAAAUGCGUAGAUAUAGGAAGGAACACCAGUGGCGAAGGCGACUACCUGGACUGAUACUGACACUGAGGUGCGAAAGCGUGGGGAGCAAACA
rnacentral:rRNA from 1 species